rnacentral:rRNA from 1 species
GCCAUGCAUGCCUAAGAAUAAGAGGAAGCAAUUCUCUCUGAAUCUGCGAACGGCUCCGCAAACCAGUUGUAAACUAUAGCAAGCAAGCCCGGGAUCGGCCUUCACGGGCUGGUUCCGGGUGAUAUGGAUAACCCUGGUAAUUCUGAGGCUAAUACAUGACCGUAAAACCUAGCUGACCGGCUUCGGCUGGGAUGCUGGGGGACGUGUGAUUUGGGCUUGGUAACACCGGGAAGGGGCGCACGUCUAGACCACGCUAUAAAGGUCGGUUUCCCCUUCGGGGGGGGCUGUCCCAGUGGCUCUUGCUGUGUGCUUCUGACCUAUCAACUAGACGGCAGCGUAAGGGACAUGCUAUGGUGACAACGGGUACAGAGGAUUAGGGUUCGAUCCUGGAGAGUGGGCCUGAGAGAUUGCUCAUACUUCUAAGGAAGGCAGCAGGCGCGCAACGUUCCCCUUGGGCAAUGCCCGAGGGCGUUAGGGGACAUAUGAAUGCCUGCCCAUUGGGUGGGCAAUUCAAAUGGGUCUGUUGUAAACAGGCUCUCGAGUAACAAU